rnacentral:rRNA from 1 species
UUAGUAACGCGUGGGAACGUGCCCUUCUCGGCGGAAUAGCCACUGGAAACGGUGAGUAAUACCGCAUACGCCCGUUCGGGGGAAAGAUUUAUCGGAGAAGGAUCGGCCCGCGUUAGAUUAGAUAGUUGGUGGGUAACGGCCUACCAAGUCUACGAUCUAUAGCUGGUUUUUAGAGGAUGAUCAGCAACACUGGGACUGAGACACGGCCCAGACUCCUACGGGAGGCAGCAGUGGGGAAUCUUAGACAAUGGGCGCAAGCCUGAUCUAGCCAUGUCGCGUGUGUGAUGAAGGUCUUAGGAUCGUAAAGCACUUUCGCCAGGGAUGAUAAUGACAGUACCUGGUAAAGAAACCCCGGCUAACUCCGUG